CCUACGGGGGGCAGCAGUGGGGAAUAUUGGACAAUGGGGGCAACCCUGAUCCAGCCAUGCCGCGUGUGUGAAGAAGGCCCUCGGGUUGUAAAGCACUUUCAGUGAGGAAGAACGCCUGGUGGUUAAUACCCAUCAGGAAAGACAUCACUCACAGAAGAAGCACCGGCUAACUCCGUGCCAGCAGCCGCGGUGAUACGGAGGGUGCGAGCGUUAAUCGGAAUUACUGGGCGUAAAGCGCGCGUAGGUGGCUUGAUAAGCCGGUUGUGAAAGCCCCGGGCUCAACCUGGGAACGGCAUCCGGAACUGUCAAGCUAGAGUGCAGGAGAGGAAGGUAGAAUUCCCGGUGUAGCGGUGAAAUGCGUAGAGAUCGGGAGGAAUACCAGUGGCGAAGGCGGCCUUCUGGACUGACACUGACACUGAGGUGCGAAAGCGUGGGUAGCAAACAGGAUUAGAUACCCGUGUAGUC
rnacentral:rRNA from 1 species